rnacentral:lncRNA from 1 species
CCACAUGUUACGGGCUACGGUCUCUGCCUUCUUGCCCCAUUCCUGAAACUUAUGGAUCACAGGCUCAAAAGAUUUCUGGGUUGACAUUUCUGAUUUGUCAAUGGGAGUAUAAACCAGGUAUGGGUGCUCGGGGAUUUGCUGGUGCUCACUGGCAUUCCAUAAGGCGGCCUGUUGGUUGUCAGGGUGGACGUUAGGAGCUGCUGCUGGUCCCAUGAUGUGGGUGCCCCAUUUUUUGGGAUUCUCAUCCGAUGCUGGUGGGUGAUCAUUAGGGUGGGAUUCCUCCGUGACAGUGGCAGAUGAGGUUGGUUCGUGGAAUUCUGCCUCUUGAUCAGCCUUAGGUGGUGGUGGAGGUACUUGUUGGGUUUCUGCCUCUUGAGGAGUGCCUGUCAUCUUUACUAAAUGGAAUUGAAUGGAAGGUAAAGGGGGGAAAACACAAAAAGCGGCAGUUCAAGAUUGGUUAUCUGAUUCAGUGAGAACUCUUUGGAAGAUUUGAUGGUUAAAUUAGUGCUAAUAAGCUGUUGAUUUAUAGAAGUUCAAUUCAUGGGUUAUCCAUAUUGUACAAUUUGCAGACACGGUUUCGUUUUCGUUGCAAUGAAGAAAGAUGAGAAAUCAACCUUCUAGAUUAGCAAGAAUGUGUACAGCCUCUUUAGUCAGCCGUAUAAAUUAUACUCUUUCUAGAUAUUUUGAAAACGGGUGCCAUCGUCAAAGCACCGCUUGAUAUUAUCACGGAUAGAAUCAUAGAAAAGAAGGUUUGUCUGCUUUGCAUCAACAAAUUAAUAAAAUAUCUAAAAAAAUAUUAAUUUUUCGCUUGUUGACCGAUUGAUCAUCACGGUUAGAAAGGAAGGUUUGGCUGCUUUGCUUUGAAAUACCCAAACAUGUCAUCAGGCGAAAGCAACAUCUCUCUCUCUUUUUUUAAUGAACAGGAACCUAAGGUAUUGAUUAACAUUGAAAUAUUUAUAGUUUUUUAAAGUAUUUUUUAUUUAAAAAUAUAUUAAAAUACCUCAAUAAUAUCUUUUUCAUGAAAAGAAAUUUAAUGGCAUAUUUUUUGUGAUAAAAAUGUAGUUAACCAACAAUUUUAUCUUUUUUAUUUUAUUUUUUUAUGACUACUUUUUUUAUUUCAAAGUUUAUGAAUUGAAAGGUAAAAUAAAUUAAUUUUAGUAAAUAAAUGUAAAACCCAUAAAAAAAAACCAAAAAGUAAAACUUGAAAUUAUUGGGAUCAAACUAUAAUUCCCCAUGCCAAACUGAAAAGGGGUUGCAUCUGUUUGGUUGUGUCAAUGUUGGUUCCUGUUGUUUUAAUUUUCUAAGAUUGAUAAAAUCUUAGAAAAUAUAUUACGAAGGGAACCUCAAAAAAGCCUUCAGCUUAUAGGGCUAAUCUUGGUUAGGUCUAAAUAUGUUUUUCAUCUAGAUUAAAUCCUCUAUUUAUUAAUGAAUUCUCAAUCAAAUCAUUAUGUUAAUUUAGGUUAAUGUAAUGGUUAAGUAUGGGAUAAUGAGAAUAAAUUAUACUUAUAAAUACAAGAGUUUUGUAUUAUAUAUAUAUAUAUAUAUAUAUAUAAAGUUUGGUCUCCAUGUGAGAUUCACGUUAUUCAAAAGUAAAAAUCUUAGAAAAUUUGCUUGUUUUUGUAAAAAAUAUAAAAUAAAAAUCACAUCAUCAUCAAGUAUUACUUAAUAGUAUCAUUAAUUCAUUCUUAAUUGCGGAUUUAAUCAUUGCGGAUCUAAUCUAAACUAGCUUCGAAGUUUGGGGAUUCUUACAAGGUUUGCCUAGCAAAAGGAAAUUGAAGGAAUAAUUAGGUGUGAGUAGUAAUCAUAGUUUAAUCUAAAGCCGAUAAAUAUUUACCCAACACGAAUGGAUGAAUAUUUUUUUAUGAUUGCCUUACUGGAUAGAUAAUGAGUAUAGUAUAAAUAUUGUAAAAUCUGAUUCAAAACUUGCUUUAACCUAACUACGAAAUAUAUAUGUAUAUUAUAUUAAUAUAUUUGUAGAAUAUUUAGAUUUUUUUAAUAUAUAUAUAUAUAUAUAUAUAUAUAUAUAUAAUCAUUUGCUAUUCAUUAUCUAUUAGAAAAAAUAUAGAUAUUUAUAUCUAACUCAUCUUAUCCAUAUCCAAAAUAAAUAAUUAUACACUAUAGAUUAUCUAUUAAAAAGAAACAUCGAUAUCCAUGUCUAACUCGUUGAAUCUCGAAUAUUCAUUAGUAGUUUUUAUUUAUUUAAGUAGUUAUCAUAUUACGUGUUCCGCACAUGAUUAACAUUGGUUGUCAGGGUGGACAUUAGGUGCUGGCGGUGGUACCAUGACGUGGCUGCCCCAUUUCUUGGUUUCCUCAUCCGAUAGUGGUGGUGGUUGAAGCGGCGACCCCUCUGUGACAGUGGACGAUGAGGGUGGCUGAUGAGAUUCGGCUCCUGUAGCUUUAGGAGCUGAUAAUGCUGGGACUGGUACUUCAUGUUGCUGUGCCUGUUGAGGUGAGCUUGUCAUUUUGACCGACUAGAACUGAAUGGAAGGUAGAUGUGGCAAGAGCAAAAACUAUCGGUGCGAUAUUGAAGAAAGCAGAUUUUUUUUUUUUUUGAUGGAUUGAAGAAAGUAGAUGAAUCAACCUUCUAGAUUGAAAGCGUCCUUAGCCUGUUAGCCAGAUGACUAUUCCGAGGAGGACUAUCUAGGUGAACAGGUGGCAAUGCCAAAAAACUUUUUGGCCGAAUGAAAUUAUCAGGAGAAGAAUCGAAAAGGUUUCUAGCUAGACACCAUUAAUAAAUUUAACAGCCUGGCUGUUUUUGUUUAUGAUGUAAUAUCUAGAGUGAAUAAAAAUUAGGAUUUUAAAAUUCUAAGGUUAUAGCUGAGAUUUUUGAGAAAUAUAGAUAAAACUCUAAUAAGUUUGGGAUUUAAUAAUUUUCAAUAAAAAAAAUAAAUUAAACAUCCCUAAUUUAAGUCUUAAUUUAGGAAAAGGAUUCCUUAUUGAUAGUUACAUAAUUCAACUAGCAUUGGAAUUCAUAUAUUAAGUAAAAUCAUGUAAAUCUCAACAAUUAAAUAAAUAUUAUAAUAAAAAUAAUUAUGUCAUAUAAUAAAAAAUAAAAUAGUGUCUCUUGUCAUUCCCUACUACUUGCAAAAAAUACUCACCCUCUAGUUAAAUAUUAGAAAUUAAACUCAUUCUUAAAAGAUUGAAACUAUAUAAUGAGUCUACUUAUAAAUUUCAAAAUUAGAUACUUUUAUAUCGAAUUCUUUUUUUUUAUACUCUCUCAAAUUCAUCAGCUUAUAAAUUAACUUUGAGCGUAAUCUUUGAUAAUAAUUUUAUAAUUUAUCAGAGUUUCUACUUCUUACAUGUACUUUUCAAUGUUCUAAAUUACAAUUUCAAUUCCAUAAUCCUUUUUUAAUAAAGAGUAAUAUAGUUAAUGGUGUUUGAUUAUGCUAUUCUAUUUUUUUAACUUAAAUAAUCCUUUUUUUAGGUAGUGUUUUGUUCCUGUCUCGGGAUAAAAAAGACAAAGAUAAUAAAAACAAAAAAGACAAGAUAAAAAGAAAAUAAAGAUAAAAUUUUGUUUGAUAGUUAUGAUUCCUAAACUAAACAAAUCCUUGUAAAUUUUAAUAAUUAAAUAAAUGUUAUAAUAAAAAUAAUGAUGUCAUAAAUUAAAAAACAAUAUCCCACGAUUAGUUUAAAUAUCGGGAUAUGCUAUCAGCAACCUUAAUUUAAUGGACACUGUAAAAGGGACCUCAUAAACUGAUCCUAUUCUAAUUUAACUAUGCAUUGCGUAACUCAAUUAUCUCUGUCUUCGAAAGUUACCAUUUCACCUCCGGUAGGAGUUCUGGUAGCAACCCUAGCUUCUAAGCAAUAGGUAUUAACCUGUCUAUUUCACAAUUCGGUUGAUUUGUGUAUUGCUAAAACUCAAGCUGACAAGUAUUAAUACUAAUUACGGAGUUGAGGAAGCAAUCAUAUCCUUUGCCGACAAAGUGCCCGAUCGGUUGGCAAUUGUCUAUUUUCUCCACAAUUGAUUUGUCAUAUCCUUUGCCGAUACAGUGCCCGAUCGGUUGAUUUGUUAAGUAGCCACCGACAUGGAGCUUUUUAACUUUUUGUGAUUCACUUUCAAUGAUUUGUGGUGGCAGCCUGCAACUCCGCUAUAAAUUCACUUUCCGCGGUGGGGAUGGAUUCUCUGCUCUUAGCAUUUGCUGAAAAAACUUCAUUUUAGACAGUCCUAUCAUUUUCUAUACUGUGCUCUAGCAAUCAAAAUUACGACGGUUUUGGCUAAGUAAAAGUGUUCCUUUCAACGACACUGCCCACUGCAGAGGGAUUAUCUCAACUUGCACAUUGGAUAAACCUCCUUAGAUUUUCUUUGAUCACGUCAUUUUAUUUUCGUUGCCCAUUUGAAAUUAUUUGGCUGAAAUGGAAAGACAAUACUACGAAUUAAUGUUAAGAUCAAAUCACGGCGUUUUUUGGAAUUCCAAUUCUUGCAAUUAUUAACGUUCACAAAAAAACUGAAAUGAUCGAACCCAUUAUAGAAUUGAAGCCCAUAUAUGACAAGCCAUCCGGGUCUCUCUUUUUUUUUUUUUUUAAUGUUGACAGCAUUUCAUUCAUAUCAUUCAUAGAAACUCGAAUUUUGAGGAGUCUUUUAAGUAUUUAGCCCGCUACACUGUUAACAAUGCUGUUGAGGCUUUUCCAAAUUAAGAAUGCGGUGGGAGGGUGGAGAAAGUAUAUCAGAAAAUAUAUCCAAAUGCAACUCCGUUUUCAAAAAUCUACAUAAAUAUAUAAACAACAAUCAAAGAAAAGAAUACAUGAUAGAAGAGGAUAAAUGAAUGACAACAGGAAAACUAAAGGAAAGCUCCCUUCAGGCAACAAACAAUAAAUGCACUAGAAACAGUGAAAAUCAAAAUCUUGAAGGGCAUGAAGGAUUCAACUAUCAUUGGCUAAACAACAACUGGUUGAAUUGCAAUUCCUGCUUCCUUGAAACUUGACACGCUCUCUGAUAGAUUUUGCAAGGCUUUCUCAAAAUUAACGAAACCCAUAAACCAGAAGUCGUGCCCAUCGAUGCUGACAAUUUGAAUGUACUUCCUUGAUGGAUUUUCCAGCAUGGUCUCCGAGCUGACUCUGCUUAUUUUUUCCAAGGGUAUCAUAACCUGCUCAAAAUAAGUUAUUAUUGAAUUCAUCAGUACCAUGAUAUACACGGAUGGCUAUAGCAAGAUAGAAAAUUUAGUUUGAGCUUUGAUUGCCAAAGAUAUUUAGUUUUGUUUUGUUGUAUCUCCGUGAACUACCCUUUUAUACAUGCACGAUUUCUCUCAACUUCACCUUUUGUUUGGAAUUUAACAGAGCUUAACUAUAUAUAAUAAUAGGCUAAUAGCUAUGAAUGUAGUAAAAUCUAUCCGACUUGGUGUCUAGCGAUGUAUUUACCUUGUAGUAGCUCCAGGCCUCCUCCCCUGAAGGAACAGUAUGGCACAGAGGACGGUCGCUGCAGAACGCGACUCGAGCAGUUGACAGAUAGAGCGUCCCGGCAACAGGGCCAGUAGAUGUUGAGAGGUAACAAGCAAAACUCUUCUUCAGCUUCUCAUUAGGAUCGGUGGUUUCAAAUAUAUGCUUGAAGAGAGACUCAAAGCCACCCUCUGUCAUUGCUUUCACCGUCAGGUUUACCUUACCCCAGGCAGCUUGUGGCACAGAUGGCCCUGUGCUAACUGCAUUAAAGUGUAUGUGCAGGUGCGUGUUAAAACAGAUCAGAAAUAAGAUUGGAAGAUACACUUGAACUAAAUUUGUUGUCCGCUUUGAUGCCAGAAAAUCGCUACUCUAUCAUGGUCACAGUUACAGUGACGAUCAAUUAGCUAAUUUAAUAUUUCAUGGUUUGUGAACAUCAACUUACGAUUGUGCCAGAUGUUACGGGCUACGGUCUCUGCCAUCUUGCCCCAUUCUUGAAACUUAUGGAUCACAGGUUCAAAAGAUUUCUGGGUUGACAUUUCUGAUUUGUCAAUGGGAGUAUAAACCAGGUAUGGGUGCUCGGGGAUUUGCUGGUGCUCACUGGCAUUCCAUAAGGCAGCCUGUUGGUUGUCAGGGUGGAAAUUAGGUGCUGCUGGAGGCCCCAUGAUGUGGGUGCCCCAUUUCUUGGAUUUCUCAUCCGAUGCUGGUGGUUGAUCCUUAGGGUGGGAUUCCUCCGUGACAGUGGCAGAUGAGGUUGGUUCAUGGAAUUCUGCCUCUUGAUCAGCCUUUGAAGAUGGUGGUGGUGGAGGUACUUGUUGGGUUUCUGUCUCUUGCGGAGUGCCUGUCAUCUUUACUAAAUAAAAUUGAAUGGAAGGUAAAAGGGGGAAAACACGAAAAGCGGCAGAUCAAGAUUGGUUAUCUGAUCCAGUGAGAACUCUUGGAAGAUUUGAUGGUUUGGUUGGUGCUAAUAAACUUUUGAUUUAUAGAAGUUCAAUUCAUGGGUUAUCCAUAUUAUAUAAUUUCUAGACACGGUUUCGUUUUCUUUGCAAUGAAGAAAGAUGAAAAAUCAACCUUCUAGAUUAGCAAUAAUGUUUUCAGCGUCUUUAGCCAGCCAUAUUGUAUAAAUUAUGCUCUUUCUAGAUAUUUUGCAAAAGGGGUGCCAAUGUCAAAGCACUGCUUGAUAUUACCACGAAUAGAAAAGAAGGUUUGUCUGCUUUGCAUCAACAAAUUAUCAUGAAUGGAAAAUAUCUAAAAAAUACUAAUUUAAUAUUUUGAAUUAUGCUCUGUCCAGAUGUAGGAUAUUUUGAAAACGGAUGACAAUGUAGGAUAUUUCUAGAUUAGCAAAAAAAAACUAUAUCUAGGUGCAUGUUGUUAAUAUUUUUCUAGUAAAAAAAUUAAAUUGAAUAGAUUCGAAGUAGGUUUAAAUGUAAUUAGAAUGAUUAGUAAAAUAUAAUUAAUUUAACUAAAAAAAUUUAAGAUGAUAUUUAAAAAAAAAAAUUGAAUUGAAAACAUAUUGGAUCGACCUGAAUUAAUUCAGGUUUAUCUAUUAAAUACCCAACUUGAGUUAUAAAACCACAAUAACCAUAUAUAAAACGAAUUGAAAAAAGUUAGGUGCUCAAUUUCUAAUCAACUCAAUAUUUUGUUAAAUUUUUUAAAGUAUAUAAUUAAAAAAAUAAUCUUAGUUAACCACUAAACUUACGACUCAAGUCAUGAAACGAGGAUUAACUUAUAUAAUGUAAAAUAAAAUAAAUUAUGAAGUCUUAUUCUUAAUAAAUCAAAUGUUGAAUAAUGAAAUUAAAAUUAAAUAAUUAAAAAUUGACAAAAAAAAGACUUAAAUCAACCCGGGUCAACUUUCCAAACUUAUAACUCAAAUCAUAGGACUGAAAUAACAUCAUAGAAAAUAAAUAAAUAAAAAAUGACCUUGGUUAAAUCGAGUUAACCUAUCAAACUUGUGAGUCGAUUUAAGAAAUUUAGAUAACCCCAUUGAAAGCAAAUCACAACAAAUUAUGAAACUCAAUUCUCAAUCAAUCAAUUUUAAAAUGAUAAAAUUGAAAAAAAAAAUUAAAAAAAAUAAUAAAACAACUUGAGUCUACCUAAGUUAACCAACGAAACUUGUGACCCGAGUAAUAAGACCGGGAUAACCUCGAAAUAAAUAAUUAAGUUUAAUUUCUAAUCAAAUCAAUAUAAAAAUAUAAAUUUUUUUUAAAAAAAUUAAAAACAAACCUUAGUAAACUUGGCUAACAAACCAAACUAAUAUUUUGUGAUAUAAUGAACAGUAAGAAAUCAUUUAUUUUAGUAUUUUUUUUAAUAAUAAUUUGGUUGAUAAUAAUUUGUUAAUGUUAUCAACCUGUUAAACCAUAUAAAUUAUGCCCUUUCUAGAUGUAGGAUAUUUUUGAAAACAGACGCCAAAACUUUGAGACCAAGGGACUUCACAAACUGGUUCUAUUAAGACAGGUGCAUUUGUCAAUAAUUUCUAGAUCCUUCUUUUAGCAGCCCCAUGUUGACCAGUUACAAGGAUCACGGUCAACAGGUUAGAACCAAGAGGUUUUAUUUUUUCUAGGAUUUCAAAUUUAAACUUUAAUUACUAAUAUAAUGAUUAUUAAAAUAAAAAUUUAUAUAAUUAUUAAAUUUAAAAUUCAUAAAAUUAAUCAAAAUAAAUACAAAUUAUGUCAAAUAUUUAUAUUAAUUAAAAAAAAAAACAGAGAGAGAGAUUACGGUCUACCCUUUACAUGAACUCAAAUAUAGCACCACGCGGGAUUAGUGCUCCCUUGUUUUAAAAAUUUUAUUUGCUUCGGUUUUCUGGGACUGGCACUAGAAGGUGUACAUGGAUUUUAAUUACAAUCGUGAGUGUGUUUGAUUUUUCAUUUUUUUUCUUUAAAUAAUUUUUCAAAAAUAGAGAAACAACUGUUCAAAUAUUAAAUUUUAUGAUACAUCUAAAUCCAAUCAUUAAGACUUGAUUUGUAAAUUCGAUAUGGUGGGUGCUGACGUGUCAUAUUGUGUCUCGUGGCUUUUACAAUCCGCCACAUAAGAAAAAGUUUACUGGUUGGGUAUGACAUGGCAUCCUUGAAUGGGUGAGGAGACCUUUUUGAUCAUUGACUAUUUAAAGGGACUUGACCAAGAGGACAUCCGUGGUCGAUGUAACAUAUUCAUCAGCUUUAAUGACAAAUCGUACAUACAUUACAUGCAAAUUCUCGAAGCAUGUGACAUUGUUUUUUUACGUAACCACUAAGAAUAUUUCGUAAUAUAUUAAUAAUGCCUGAAUACAUUUAUAUUUUAAAAGUUUUUUUUAAAAAUUUAAUUUAAUUUAAUUUUUAUUUUUUUAUUUUAAAUUAUAUGCUGAUGUUAAAAAUAAUUUUUUUAAAAAAUAUAUAUUUUAAUAUAUUUUCAAAUAAAAAAUACUUUAAAAAAUAAUUAUAACUACACCCUCAAAGACCAAUUAAAUAGAAAAAACAAAUUUUGGCUACAUAUUUAAUAUGGUAGAUUGCAUUCUCCACUUCAAACAUUUUAUGUUUUUAUAAAUUCAAAUAUUAUAAAUUAAAUUGAUAUAUUUUUAAUUUUUAUAACUAUUAAUUAAAUUGAAAAACUUAUAAUAUACUAUAACUAGGUAUAAAAUUUCAUACAUAACACUCUAUCGAAAAACUAGAUUUUAAUGGUCUAAAGUUACAAACUCAUUAUUUUUAUUUCAAUUCCUUAAUUUCAUUAUUUCUUCAGAUUCAUCUAUCAAAACAUAUAAAAUCACUUUCAAUGAUUUUCUGUCAAUCUAACAUUCACUCCUUAAAAGUGAUUAGAAAUUAGUAUUAUAAAACCCUAAUUCCUAAACCUUUUUUUUUUGUAAUCCUAAUAUAUAUAUAUAUAUAUAUAUAUAUAUAUAUGCAAAAACUCUCAAUUACAAAGCAAGGAUGGAGCACACACCUUAAAUUGAUAAUAAAAAAAAUAUUUUAUCUAUAAAUCAAAUCUUCUCCUUUCUCUCUCUUUCUCUGUUGAUGUAGGUUUUGAUUAUCUAAUAAAAUUAGAGUGUAAGUUACUCUAAAGUUUUGUUUUCUUUUUAUACUCUAAAUUAUUGUGUAACUACUAACUUAUAAUACCCUUAAUAAAUAAAAAGGGCAUAAUAAAAACCCUAAUUAAUUAUUUUAUUUUAUUUAUUAUUGCUAUUUUAUAUAUAUAUAUAUAUCAAAACAUGUGAAAUGUUUUAGUUAUCCCUCAACCAUAGUCACCUAUAAUUACUCAUUAAAGGAUAAUGUUGUCCUUUCCUAUUCAAUUUUUCAUGGUAUCACAGACACAUUAGUAGCCUCCAUUGAUGAGUCAGCCUUCUACGAACACAACAGCAAAUACAUAGCAUCAACAAGUUACAUGUAGUAGCAGAAGAUCAGUCAUACCAACAGCAGAAAAAACUCCAGCGACAGCAACUUCAAAACAUGUACAGGAAUAGUAGCAACUGUUAAGAUUGUCCAAAAAUAUUAGAAAAUAAUAAUUAAGACAAGAGCAUAUAUAUACGUAGUUUAUAAUCAUGAAAUUCAUUAGAUCAUGGUAAAUUUGCUAUCAUAACAAAAAGUAUAUAUAAAAGACUCUAACAUGCAUUCUAGCAUAUACCAAACUUGAUAAUGAUAUAAAAAUAAAGUCUUAGCAAGCAUACUAGUCAUACAACAUAUUUUUUAAUAAUUUAAAACAAAACCAAAAAUACAUUACUUAUUUUUUAAAACACUUUAAAAUUGAUCAAGUUUUGUUAUUGUCAAUAAUCAAUCAUUUGUCCUAAAAAUUUUAUUGAUCUUCACUUGAUGCAAUAUGAUUUUUUUUCAAUAAAUUUCUCAAAAUUUCAGCAUCAACACCUUAUUUUAAUGUAUUUCUGAACAAGAUCCAGUAAGCCAAUAAAAUAUUACUUAAUAAUCCCUCUACAAUAAAAAUUAUUUUAUAAUGAAUCUAAAUCAUGUCCAGGCCUCGACGCAUACAGACGCAUACACGUGUAAGUUUAAUCCCAAAGCUCAAUUUGCUUAGGACAUCUCCCUUUUAAAAGGGUUGGUGCUUUUUAAAUUUAAUUUUAACUUCACAACUUUUCAUUUAAUAAACAUAAAAAAGGUUUUGUUUCUUUUCUAUAUAGAAUAGAGUUUUUUUUAGAAAGUUUUUGGUUUUACAAAAAUAUAUUAACUCAUGAUUUUUUUAGAUCAAUUUCUCAUUAACCCAUAUUUUUUAAAAUCAUGUUAAUGUUUCAUAUUAAAUUAAAAUUAAUUUUUAAUAAAAUUUUAACCCAAAAAGUGAGUAGACUCUACUUUUAAUUUGGUUUUAAAUAUGUCCAUUUAACCAUAUUCUUAGAUAAGUUUUCCAACAACACAACACAUCAUUAGUAGUCCUUAAAAGUUGUAAUAGUUAUUGCAACAAUAAACAACAAUAACUACUUUUUUAUCUAGAACUAACCUUAACAACGGGACGCCAAAUUAAGAUCUUACAUGAGGUAGUAUGGUAUUUUUUUAGGGGCAUAUGAAGAUUUCCCAACCUGGAAUCAAUAAGGUCAAGUUAUAUGCUAUUUUUUUAAUGGCACAUGAAAAGUAAAACUUGCCUUUGAAGAACUUGUAAUAGUUAUCCGCAAAUUAUCAGAUUAAGUCAAGUUAUAUGCAAUUUCAAGAUAUUGAAGACUUGCAUAUCUUUCUCAAAAAAAAUAAAGAAAAGACAUCCUCGAAUUGGCUUCGUUUGUGAAGUUCCAAAAACUACUUAGUGUUUGAACUCUAGAAGAACCCCGACUCUACGGUUGAAAGAGUAGGUGGUGCUGCGUCUUUAUGCUUUUUUCUUUUGCUGCUGAUCUCACAUCGAGAACAGCUCCUUGACAGUUGAUCCUAUUUAAAAAAGAACCUUUUUUUUUUUUCUAAAUGAGUGUUUAAGAAAAUUAAUUUAAGCAAAGUAUUGUUAAGAUACGAAAAGGUUUUCUAGAUUAAAAAAAAAUGUGAAAUUUUUAUAUAACUAGUUAAUUAAAAUUCUUAAUGAACUAGAAUUUAAAGUUCUUGUUGCAAAAAGGAUAUUUUGAACUUAUAAUCUAUCUAUAAAUAUAUAAAUAUAAGGGGCAAUAUAUGCUGUUAAGGCUUUUGCAAAUUGAGAAAUGGAAAACGAUGUUGAAUGCGGUGGGAGGGUGGGGAAAGUAUAUCAGAAAAUAUAUCCAAAUGCAACUCCGUUAUCAAAAAUCUACAUAACUAUAUAAACAACAAUAAAAAAAAAAGAAAAAGAAAAAAAAAAGAAUACAUUAUAGAAGAGGAUAAAUGAAUGACAAGAGGAAAACCAAAAGAAAAUGCCCUUCAGACAACAAACAAUAAAUCCACUAGAAACAGUGAAGAUCAAAAUUUUGAAGGGCAUGAAGGAUUCAACUCCAAAUGCAAUCAUUGGCUAAGCAACAACUGGUUGAAUUGCAAUUCCUGCUUCCUUGAAACUUGACACGCUCUCUGAUAGAUUUUGCAAGGCUUUCUCGAAAUUAACGAAACCCAUAAACCAGAAGUCGUGCCCAUCGGUGCUGACAAGUUGAAUGUACUUCCUUGAUGGAUUUUCCAGCAUUGUCUCCGAGCUGACUGUGCUUAUUUUGUCCAAGGGUAUCAUAACCUGCCCAAAAUAAAUUAUUAUUGAAUUCAUUAUUAGUACCAUGAUGUACACGGAUGGCUAUGGCAAGAUAGAAAAUUUAGUUUGAGCUUUGAUUGCCAAAGACAUUUAUUUUUGCUUUGCUGUAUCUCCGUGAACUACCCUUUUAUAUAUGCACGAUUUCUCUCAACUUCACCUUUUGUUUGGAAUUUAACAGAGCUUAACUAUAUAUAUAACAAUAGCUUUGAAUGUAGUAAAAUCUAUCCGACUUGGUGUCUAGCUAGCGAUGUAUUUACCUUGUAGUAGCUCCAGGCCUCCUCUCCUGAAGGAGCAGUAUGGGACAGAGGACGGUCACUGCAGAACGCGACUCGAGCAGUUGAUAGAUAGAGCGUCCCGGCAACAGGGCCAGUAGAUGUUGACAGGUAACAAGCAAAAGUCUUCUUCAGCUUCUCAUUAGGAUCCGUUUCAAAUAUUUGCUUGAAGAGAGACUCAAAGCCACCCUCUGUGAUUGCUUUCGCCGUCAGGUUUACCUUACCCCAGGCAGAUUGUGGCACAGAUGGCCCUGUGCUAACUGCAUUAAAGUGUAUGUGCAGGUGCGUGUUAAAACAGAUCAGAAAUAAGAUUGGAAGAUACACUUGAACUGAAUUUGUUGUCCGCUUUGAUGCCAGAAAAUCGCUACUCUAUCAUGGUCACAGUGAUGAUCAAUUAGCUAAAUUUAAUACUUCAUGGUUUGUGAACAUCAACUUACGAUUGUGCCACAUGUUACGGGCUACGGUCUCUGCCUUCUUGCCCCAUCCCUGAAACUUAUGGAUCACAGGUUCAAAAGAUUUCUGGGUUGACUUUUCUGAUUUGUCAAUGGGAGUAUAAACCAGGUAUGGGUGCUCGGGGAUUUGCUGGUGCUCACUGGCAGUCCAUAAGGCAGCCUGUUGGUUGUCAGGGUGGACGUUAGGAGCUGCUGCUGGUCCCAUGAUGUGGGUGCCCCAUUUCUUGGGCUUCUCAUCCGAUGCUGGUGGGUGAUCAUUAGGGUGGGAUUCCUCCGUGACAGUGGCAGAUGAGGUUGGUUCAUGGAAUUCUGCCUCUUGAUCAGCCUUAGGUGGUGGUGGUGGUUGUGGUGGAGGUACUUGUUGGGUUUCUGCCUCUUGAUCAGCCUUAGGUGGGGGUGGUGGGGUUACUGGUUGGGUUUCUGCC